rnacentral:tRNA from 1 species
GAAGGUAUAGCUCAGUUGGUAGAGCACAUGCUUAGCAUACGGGAGGUCCUGGGCUCAAUCCCCAGUACCUCCU